rnacentral:rRNA from 1 species
UACGUAGGGGGCAAGCGUUGUCCGGAUUUAUUGGGCGUAAAGAGCGUGUAGGCGGCCAGAUAGGUCCGUUGUGAAAACUCGAGGCUCAACCUCGAGACGCCGAUGGAAACCAUUUGGCUAGAGUCCGGAAGAGGAGAGUGGAAUUCCUGGUGUAGCGGUGAAAUGCGCAGAUAUCAGGAGGAACACCAACGGCGAAGGCAGCACUCUGGGCCGGUACUGACGCUGAGGAGCGAAAGCGUGGGGAGCAAACAGG